rnacentral:rRNA from 1 species
GACGAACGCUGGCGGCGUGCUUAACACAUGCAAGUCGAACGGUAAGGCCCUUCGGGGUACACGAGUGGCGAACGGGUGAGUAACACGUGGGUGAUCUGCCCUGCACUUCGGGAUAAGCCUGGGAAACUGGGUCUAAUACCGGAUAGGACCACUGCCUGCAUGGGUGGUGGUGGAAGGCUUUUGCGGUGUGGGAUGGGCCCGCGGCCUAUCAGCUUGUUGGUGGGGUGAUGGCCUACCAAGGCGACGACGGGUAGCCGGCCUGGGAGGGUGACCGGCCACACUGGGACUGAGAUACGGCCCAGACUCCUACGGGAGGCAGCAGUGGGGAACAUUGCACAAUGGGCGCAAGCCUGAUGCAGCGACGCCGCGUGAGGGAUGACGGCCUUCGGGUUGUAAACCUCUUUCAGCACCGACGAAGCGCAAGUGACGGUAGGUGCAGAAGAAGGACCGGCCAACUACGUGCCAGCCGCCGCGGUAAAAC